rnacentral:rRNA from 1 species
GAUGAACGCUAGCUACAGGCUUAACACAUGCAAGUCGAGGGGAAACGACAUCGAAAGCUUGCUUUUGAUGGGCGUCGACCGGCGCACGGGUGAGUAACGCGUAUCCAACCUGCCCAUCACUUGGGAAUAACCUUGCGAAAGUAAGACUAAUACCCAAUGAUAUCCCACGAAGGCAUCGGAAUGGGAUUAAAGAUUUAUCGGUGAUGGAUGGGGAUGCGUCUGAUUAGCUUGUUGGCGGGGUAACGGCCCACCAAGGCAACGAUCAGUAGGGGUUCUGAGAGGAAGGUCCCCACAUUGGAACUGAGACACGGUCCAAACUCCUACGGGAGGCAGCAGUGAGGAAUAUUGGUCAAUGGGCGAGAGCCUGAACCAGCCAAGUAGCGUGCAGGAAGACGGCCCUAUGGGUUGUAAACUGCUUUUAUAAGGGAAUAAAGUGGGUCACGUGUGACUUUUUGCAUGUACCUUAUGAAUAAGGACCGGCUAAUUCCGUG